GGCUCACCCUUUCCUCCGAAUGACGCCACCCUGACGCAGGUCGCCCGCUUCGUCAAAACCUUUCGCUCGCCCCUGGCAAAACCACCCUCGCCCAAACAGCAACACCCUCUCAACGAACAGCAAGCCGGUGGAGGCAAAGGAGAUGCAGAAGGGAAUCAGGGUGGGACCUUUUCCUCGGCGGACGAGUGCGAAGAGGCCAAGGCGGCGACCUCUGCUGAGAAGGCGAAACCCGCGAAAAAGGUUGGCAGGGCGUCAGCGGAGGUCAAGGCCAAGGGCAGGGUCACCAACAAAGGACGCAAGAGUCCCUCCACAGUCGUGGAGACCCUGACCGACGAGGCUCCCGAGGCCAAGGACCUUCAGCCCUCUUCCUGCAGCCCUGAGCCCCUUGAGGACCCUGAAGAUCAGCUG